rnacentral:rRNA from 1 species
GACGAACCGAGCGAACGUUGUUCGGAAUCACUGGGCUUAAAGGGCGCGUAGGCGGGCGGCCGCGUCCGGGGUGAAAUCCUCCCGCUUAACGGGAGAACGGCCUCGGGUACGGGUCGUCUGGAGGGGGGGAGGGGCCCGCGGAACUGUGGGUGGAGCGGUGAAAUGCGUUGAGAUCCACAGGAACUCCGGCGGCGAAGGCGGCGGGCUGGACCCCUACUGACGCUGAGGCGCGAAAGCCAGGGGAGCGAACGGG